rnacentral:rRNA from 1 species
UUGGGAGCUCUCCCAUAUGGUCGACCUGCAGGCGGCCGCGAAUUCACUAGUGAUUAGAGUUUGAUCAUGGCUCAGAACGAACGCUGGCGGCAUGCCUAACACAUGCAAGUCGAACGAACUCUUCGGAGUUAGUGGCGCACGGGUGCGUAACGCGUGGGAAUCUGCCCUUGGGUACGGAAUAACUCAGAGAAAUUUGUGCUAAUACCGUAUAAUGUCUUCGGACCAAAGACUUAUCGCCCAAGGAUGAGCCCGCGUAAGAUUAGCUAGUUGGUGAGGUAAAAGCUCACCAAGGCGACGAUCUUUAGCUGGUCUGAGAGGAUGAUCAGCCACACUGGGACUGAGACACGGCCCAGACUCCUACGGGAGGCAGCAGUGGGGAAUAUUGGACAAUGGGCGAAAGCCUGAUCCAGCAAUGCCGCGUGAGUGAUGAAGGCCCUAGGGUUGUAAAGCUCUUUUACCCGGGAUGAUAAUGACAGUACCGGGAGAAUAAGCUCCGGCUAACUCCGUGCCAGCAGCCGCGGUAAUACGAAUCGAAUUCCCGCGGCCGCC